AAGUUCAGAAUCUGGGAGUAGAGAGGUGCUGAAGCCCACCGUCAUGAGUGCUUGUGACCUGGGCGCACACACCAUCAUACACACACCUCCUACAUAGACCCCUCUUCUACCGACACAGGGAGCCAAAUUGAUUAGUGUCUAUCACUGCAGGAAAUAGUGGCUUGGAAAUGGACAUGCUCCAGGACCUUGAGUCCCUGCAGUUUGAGUAUGGGGUUCCAGAGGAAGAUCGUAUCUGGCUGUAUUUGCAGGGCCGUUCUCGGGGACUGAUGAUCAAGGCUUGUGCCCAUGCAACCUUCUUCUGCAAACUAUUAUAUAAUUUGAGAGCAUCAUUAAAUGAGAAUCAAAGUUCCAGACAUCUCUCAAUUGGCUCCCUUAAUUCAGCCACUCCUGAAGAGUUUAAGGUGGGCAUCAUUGGAGGUGGCCACCUUGGGAAGCAGCUGGCUGGCACACUGCUGCAGCUCGGCCCCAUCCCUGCUGAAAGCCUGCGGAUCUCCACUCGGAGGCCAGAGACUUUGGGUGAGCUCCAGAAGCUGGGAAUCAAAUGCUUUUACCAUAACGCUGACCUGGUGAGCUGGGCCAACGUGAUAUUCCUCUGCUGCUUGCCAUCUCAGCUGCCUAAUAUCUGUGUAGAAAUACACACCAGCCUUGAGAAGACCAGCAUUGUGUACAGCUUUAUAGCUGCCAUCCCACUACCCAGGCUGAAACUACUGUUGAACCACACCAAUAUUUUGCGGCCUCAGUAUCAGUAUGGUGAAGAUUCUGUCAGCGUCUGGGGGGCCAAUAAGGGAGUCGUAGCUGCUCUCCAAGAUCCUACGAUUCUUCAAGCUACCUGUCCCUACAGUCCUGCUGGUCAUGGCUCAACAUAUUUCUGGCAUUCUUUUGAAAAUUACUUUCCUGUUGGCCCAUUGCUAUCUUAUUAAAUCAAUCUCUGUGUGUGUGUGUGUGUGUGUGUGUGUGUGUGUAAGGCACAAGGUAUUGCAGGAGAGCUACUUAGGAAGAGCUGAGAAGCUUGAUUAUUUGGACUUCUUAAGGACAAACUAAAACCAAAAGAGGAGAUAGCUUAUUUCAAUAGGAGGAUGUAAUGUUGGACUAAAAUGGCUUUUCCCUGUUCUAAACUUGCAGUUUUCCCUAGUUCCUUCUCCAUAUUAGCAACGACUAUUCCAGAGACACUUUUUGCCAUUAGCAAUGUCUACAGUAGUCGUAUCUGUCCACCUUUGGGAUGGUCAACACAUGAUGUGUUACAAAGGGCACAAGUAGCGCUUGUGACUCAGGAAGGAAUGUUUGCUUAUCUCGUGGUUCAUAUUACCCAUCUGUCUUGGAAAAAAGGUGGCUAUUCACUGUCAGGGGUUUAUUCUAGGUUCUCUGCAACUCAUUUUUGGUGGUGCUAACUGGUAUUUACCUUCUCAUUGAUGUGUAGGAGGAAUAAUCCUCAAUAUCAAGUGGUUGGAGGGAGUGUUCUAUGCGGCCCUAAACAUAUGCACAGCAAGAAACAUGGCCCACUCCCAAGUGCUGCAGCUUCUGAGUGAACUCUUUCUCUCCGUGCACUUUGAAGACUGUGGGAAAGACACAGCAUCUUGCCCAAAGUUUCAAUUAACAGAUUUUGUCAGCAAAGCCUAUGGCAAGAACUUGUCUCAGGAAAGGCCUUUCCCCUGGUUUGAUCUGACUGAUGUGCAACUCAAGGAAACUCCGUUUAGCCAGCAUCUCUCAAGCAGUCCUGUUCUCCAAGACCACCUUACCCAUCUAUACUGUGCUUCAUUUGGCAUCUCCCUAACCAAAGAACAGCCAGUCAUUUCCACAGGCUCUCCAUCCCAAUAAGAGAACUCAGGAAUCAGGAUUUUUUCCCACUCACAGAUUUUCCCUAUAACAGUUGUGCCCUGAUUAUCACAAUUGACUGUGGGAGUCUUGUGACUGUAUUGUGUUUGCCACAUGAUAGACAUCAGGAAUUAUAAAACUGUAUUGAUGACUCUUUAAAAUGUAGAAUAAAACAAGUGGUCCUAUCCAUC
rnacentral:sRNA from 1 species